CUCUCUUCACAGCCUUUUGGCUAAGAUCAAGUGCAGUAUCUGUUCUUAUCAGUUUAAUAUCUGAUACAUUGUCUAGCCAAUGACAAUAUAUUAAAUGGAUCUUCGGCACUAGAAAAUGGAAUAGGAGCUGGCUUUGUCCAUUCUACGCAUCAACCCAGUAUUGCAGUACCUCCAGAAAUAGUGCACAAAAA